GACGAACGCUGGCGGCGUGCUUAACACAUGCAAGUCGAACGAAGAGCGAUGGAAGCUUGCUUCUAUCAAUCUUAGUGGCGAACGGGUGAGUAACGCGUAAUCAACCUGCCCUUCAGAGGGGGACAACAGUUGGAAACGACUGCUAAUACCGCAUACGAUCUAAUCUCGGCAUCGAGGAUAGAUGAAAGGUGGCCUCUAUAUGUAAGCUAUCACUGAAGGAGGGGAUUGCGUCUGAUUAGCUAGUUGGAGGGGUAACGGCCCACCAAGGCGAUGAUCAGUAGCCGGUCUGAGAGGAUGAACGGCCACAUUGGGACUGAGACACGGCCCAGACUCCUACGGGAGGCAGCAGUGGGGAAUCUUCCGCAAUGGACGAAAGUCUGACGGAGCAACGCCGCGUGAGUGAUGACGGCCUUCGGGUUGUAAAGCUCUGUUAAUCGGGACGAAAGGCCUUCUUGCGAAUAGUGAGAAGGAUUGACGGUACCGGAAUAGAAAGCCACGGCUAACUACGUGCCAGCAGCCGCGGUAAUACGUAGGUGGCAAGCGUUGUCCGGAAUUAUUGGGCGUAAAGCGCGCGCAGGCGGAUAGGUCAGUCUGUCUUAAAAGUUCGGGG
rnacentral:rRNA from 1 species